rnacentral:lncRNA from 1 species
UUAAGGCCGUACAGUGACCUAUAGUAACUGUUGUUAAUGUCUGUGUCAUUUUGGUCUUUGGUGGAUAGUUGUCUCAUUGGCAAUCAUACCACAUCUUCUUUUUUUUUAUAUACACAAGUAUGAGGAAUCUUACAUAAUUUUUCAAAUCCUUAAAUAAAUAUAUCUUAUUGCGGCUUUAAAAACUUAACAACAAAAACGUGUGAGAAAUACUCUCUUCAGUUAGACUACCUACACCAAAUGUAUUUGGGUUUAAAAACAAUGGUUUGUAUUCCCAUACAAUGAAGCAAAUGCAUUGGUAUGCAACACAAUUAUUAUGAGUACAGAAUAAAAUGAAAACUCAGAGAGUGUUGAAAAUAAUAGGGUUGGUACUUUAUAUGGAAGAUGAAAAUAUAAUUAUCAUGUAAAACAUGAACUU